GAUCAGCCCUCUGAUUUGCCUGGGACUGAGGGGUUUCCUGAGACCCAGAACUUGCAGUGCUAAAAUUGGGACAGUU
rnacentral:miRNA from 1 species